rnacentral:rRNA from 1 species
CGGACGGGUGAGUAACGCGUGGAUAACCUGCCUUUCACAGGGGGAUAACAGCUGGAAACGGCUGCUAAUACCGCAUGAGCCUCUUUUGUCGCAUGAGAAGAGAGGGAAAGAGAAAUCGGUGAGAGAUGGAUCCGCGUCCGAUUAGCUAGUUGGAGGGGUAACAGCCCACCAAGGCGACGAUCGGUAGCCGACCUGAGAGGGUGGACGGCCACAUUGGGACUGAGACACGGCCCAAACUCCUACGGGAGGCAGCAG